GACGAACGCUGGCGGCGUGCUUAAUACAUGCAAGUCGAGCGAGGUUACUGUUUUGGAUCCCUUCGGGGUGAAGAAGCUUUAACCUAGCGGCGGACGGGUGAGUAACGCGUGGGUAACCUACCCCAAAGUCCGGGAUAACAGCGGGAAACCGCUGCUAAUACCGGAUGCCUUUACCUUGGGGCAUCUUGAGGUAAAGAAAGGCAACGCUUUGGGAUGGGCCCGCGUCCCAUUAGCUAGUUGGUGAGGUAACGGCUCACCAAAGCGACGAUGGGUAGCCGGCCUGGGAGGGUGGACGGCCACACUGGGACUGAGACACGGCCCAGACUCCUACGGGAGGCAGCAGUAGGGAAUAUUGCGCAAUGGACGGAAGUCUGACGCAGCGACGCCGCGUGAGCGAUGAAGGUCUUCGGAUCGUAAAGCUCUGUCCUUGGGGAAGAAGGCGAAAGCUUGACGGUACCCAAGAAGAAAGCCCCGGCUAACUACGUGCCAGCAGCCGCGGUAAUACGUAGGGGGCGAGCGUUGUCCGGAAUUACUGGGCGUAAAGGGUGCGUAGGCGGCCCUUUAAGUCGGAUGUGAAAGCCCGCGGCUUAACCGCGGAAUGGCAUUCGAAACUGGAGGGCUUGAGUGUCGGAGAGGGUAGUGGAAUUCCCAGUGUAGCGGUGAAAUGCGUAGAUAUUGGGAGGAACACCAGUGGCGAAGGCGACUACCUGGACGAUAACUGACGCUGAGGCACGAAAGCUAGGGGAGCAAACAGG
rnacentral:rRNA from 1 species